UUUAGAGAGCGGCGUACGGGUGCGUAACACGUGUGCAACUUACCUUUAUCAGGAGGAUAGCCUUUCGAAAGGAAGAUUAAUACUCCAUAAUAUAUUAGAUGGCAUCAUUUAGUAUUGAAAACUCCGGUGGAUAGAGAUGGGCACGCGCAAGAUUAGAUAGUUGGUGAGGUAACGGCUCACCAAGUCAUUGAUCUUUAGGGGUCCUGAGAGGGAGAUCCCCCACACUGGUACUGAGACACGGACCAGACUCCUACGGGAGGCAGCAGUGAGGAAUAUUGGACAAUGGGUGAGAGCCUGAUCCAGCCAUCCCGCGUGAAGGAUGACGGUCCUACGGAUUGUAAACUUCUUUUGUAUAGGGAUAAACCCAGAUACGUGUAUCUGGCUGAAGGUACUAUACGAAUAAGCACCGGCUAACUCCGUGCCAGCAGCCGCGGUAAUACGGAGGGUGCAAGCGUUAUCCGGAUUUAUUGGGUUUAAAGGGUCCGCAGGCGGGCCGAUAAGUCAGUGGUGAAAUCUCAUAGCUUAACUAUGAAACUGCCAUUGAUACUGUCGGUCUUGAGUAAAUUAGAGGUAGCUGGAAUAAGUAGUGUAGCGGUGAAAUGCAUAGAUAUUACUUAGAACACCAAUUGCGAAGGC
rnacentral:rRNA from 1 species